rnacentral:rRNA from 1 species
UGGGGAAUAUUGGACAAUGGGGGCAACCCUGAUCCAGCGACGCCGCGUGUGUGAAGAAGGCCUGCGGGUUGUAAAGCCCUUUCGGUGGGGAAGAAAAGUCUCGGCCUAAUACGUCGGGACCUUGACGUAACCUACUAAAGAAGCACCGGCUAACUCUGUGCCAGCAGCCGCGGUAAUACAGAGGGUGCGAGCGUUAAUCGGAAUUACUGGGCGUAAAGCGCGCGUAGGCGGCUUUGCAAGUCGGGUGUGAAAUCCCCAGGCUCAACCUGGGAACUGCAUUCGAGACUGCAUUGCUAGAGUAUGGGAGAGGGAAGUGGAAUUUCAGGUGUAGCGGUGAAAUGCGUAGAUAUCUGAAGGAACAUCAGUGGCGAAAGCGACUUCCUGGACCAAUACUGACGCUCAUGUGCGAAAGCGUGGGGAGCAAA